rfam:Xenopus tropicalis strain Nigerian scaffold_1360_contig_15, whole genome shotgun sequence.
GCCUACGGCCAUACCACCCUGUAAGCGCCCGAUCUCGUCUGAUCUCGGAAGCUAAGCAGGGACGGGUUUGGUUAGUACAUGGAUGGGAGACCGCCUGGGAAUACCAGGUGUUGUAGGCU